AACGUAGGUGGCGAGCGUUAUCCGGAUUUACUGGGCGUAAAGGGUGUGCAGGCGGGCUGUUAAGUGGUGUAUGAAAUAUCCCGGCUCAACCGGGAGAGGUUAUGCCAGACUGGCAGUCUAGAGAGCGAGAGAGGGACGUGGAAUUCCGGGUGUAGUGGUGAAAUGCGUAGAGAUCCGGAGGAACCCCAGAGGCGUAGGCGGCGUCCUGGCUCGCAUCUGACGCUCAGACACGACAGCAUGGGGAGCGAACGGG
rnacentral:rRNA from 1 species